AAAGAACGUCGCCGGACAAUGCGAGGGUUUUUUAACCAGCAUAUUUGUUAUGUGGUAGUCGCACCGGGGGUUCUUUCAUUU
rnacentral:ncRNA from 1 species